AGAGUUUGAUCCUGGCUCAGGACGAACGCUGGCGGCGUGCCUAAUACAUGCAAGUCGAGCGGACAGAUGGGAGCUUGCUCCCUGAUGUUAGCGGCGGACGGGUGAGUAACACGUGGGUAACCUGCCUGUAAGACUGGGAUAACUCCGGGAAACCGGGGCUAAUACCGGAUGGUUGUUUGAACCGCAUGGUUCAAACAUAAAAGGUGGCUUCGGCUACCACUUACAGAUGGACCCGCGGCGCAUUAGCUAGUUGGUGAGGUAACGGCUCACCAAGGCAACGAUGCGUAGCCGACCUGAGAGGGUGAUCGGCCACACUGGGACUGAGACACGGCCCAGACUCCUACGGGAGGCAGCAGUAGGGAAUCUUCCGCAAUGGACGAAAGUCUGACGGAGCAACGCCGCGUGAGUGAUGAAGGUUUUCGGAUCGUAAAGCUCUGUUGUUAGGGAAGAACAAGUACCGUUCGAAUAGGGCGGUACCUUGACGGUACCUAACCAGAAAGCCACGGCUAACUACGUGCCAGCAGCCGCGGUAAUACGUAGGUGGCAAGCGUUGUCCGGAAUUAUUGGGCGUAAAGGGCUCGCAGGCGGUUUCUUAAGUCUGAUGUGAAAGCCCCCGGCUCAACCGGGGAGGGUCAUUGGAAACUGGGGAACUUA
rnacentral:rRNA from 1 species